rnacentral:rRNA from 1 species
UACGUAGGGACCAAGCGUUGUUCGGAUUUACUGGGCGUAAAGGGCGCGUAGGCGGCGCGGUAAGUCACUUGUGAAAUCUCUGAGCUUAACUCAGAACGGCCAAGUGAUACUGCAGUGCUAGAGUGUGGGAGGGGCAACUGGAAUUCUCGGUGUAGCGGUGAAAUGCGUAGAUAUCGAGAGGAACACCUGCGGCGAAGGCGGGUUGCUGGGCUGACACUGACGCUGAAGCGCGAAAGCUAGGGGAGCGAACGGG